UCUUAUGGAUGAACAAAGAAAGUGGUUUCUUGAGAAGGAAACUACUCCCACUGAAGAUGCUGUUAA
rnacentral:pre_miRNA from 1 species